CACACCGCCCGUCACGCCACGAAAGUGGUCAUAACCAGAAGCAUGUGAGCUAACUUCGGAGGCAGCAUACCAAGGUUAAGGCCGUGAUUGGGGCG
rnacentral:rRNA from 1 species